GAUGAUGGGAGCUUGCUCCUGGAUUAGUGGCGAACGGGUGAGUAACACGUGAGUAACCUGCCCUUAACUCUGGGAUAAGCCUGGGAAACUGGGUCUAAUACCGGAUAUGACUCCUCAUCGCAUGGUGGGGGGUGGAAAGCUUUUUGGGGGUUUGGAAGGGCUCCCAGGCCUUUCACUUGGUGGGGAAGGAAUGGGUUACCCAGGGGAACAACGGGAGGCCGGCCGGAAAGGGGAACCGGCCCCCUGGGACUGAAAACCCGGCCCAAAUUCUUCCGGAAGGCACCAUGGGGAAUUUUGGGCCAUGGGGGCCAGCCUGGAGGCACCACCCCCCCUGGAGGAAGAACGGCUUUCGGUUGGUAACCUUCUUUCAUAAGGAAAAAACCAAAGUGGCCGGUCCUGGCAAAAAAACCCCCGGUUACUUCCUGGCCACCACCCCCGGAAUUCCUAAGGGCGCAGGCUUUAUCCGGAUUAAUUG
rnacentral:rRNA from 1 species